AGCGAACGCUGGCGGCAGGCCUAACACAUGCAAGUCGAACGAAGCCUUCGGGCUUAGUGGCGGACGGGUGAGUAACACGUGGGAACGUACCUUUUGGUUCGGAACAACUCAGGGAAACUUGAGCUAAUACCGGAUGAGCCCUUAGGGGGAAAGAUUUAUCGCCGAAAGAGCGGCCCGCGUUAGAUUAGCUAGUUGGUGAGGUAAAGGCUCACCAAGGCUACGAUCUAUAGCUGGUCUGAGAGGAUGAUCAGCCACACUGGGACUGAGACACGGCCAAGACUCCUGCGGGAGGCAGCAGUGGGGAAUCUUGCGCAAUGGGCGAAAGCCUGACGCAGCCAUGUCGCGUGAAUGAUGAAGGUCUUAGGAUUGUAAAAUUCUUUUACCAGGGACGAUAAUGACGGUACCUGGAGAAAAAGCCCCGGCUGACUUCGUGCCAGCAGCCGCCGUAAGAC
rnacentral:rRNA from 1 species